rnacentral:rRNA from 1 species
GACGAACGCUGGCGGCGUGCUUAACACAUGCAAGUCGAACGGAAAGGCCCCUUUGGGGGUACUCGAGUGGCGAACGGGUGAGUAACACGUGAGUAACCUGCCCUUGACUUCGGGAUAACUUCAGGAAACUGGGGCUAAUACCGGAUAGGAAUCCUUGCUGCAUGGUGGGGGUUGGAAAGCUUCGGCGGUUUUGGAUGGACUCGCGGCUUAUCAGCUUGUUGGUGGGGUAGUGGCUUACCAAGGCUUUGACGGGUAGCCGGCCUGAGAGGGCGACCGGCCACAUUGGGACUGAGAUACGGCCCAGACGCCUACGGGAGGCAGCAGUGGGGAAUAUUGCACAAUGGGCGGAAGUCUGAUGCAGCAACGCCGCGUGCGGGAUGACGGCCUUCGGGUUGUAAACCGCUUUCAGCAGGGGCGAAGCUUGUGGUGACGGUACCUGCAGAAGAAGCACCGGCUAACUACGUG